rnacentral:rRNA from 1 species
GAUGAACGCUGGCGGCGUGCCUAAUACAUGCAAGUCGAGCGAACGGACGAGAAGCUUGCUUCUCUGAUGUUAGCGGCGGACGGGUGAGUAACACGUGGAUAACCUACCUAUAAGACUGGGAUAACUUCGGGAAACCGGAGCUAAUACCGGAUAAUAUUUUGAACCGCAUGGUUCAAAAGUAAAAGACGGUCUUGCUGUCACUUAUAGAUGGAUCCGCGCUGCAUUAGCUAGUUGGUAAGGUAACGGCUUACCAAGGCAACGAUGCAUAGCCGACCUGAGAGGGUGAUCGGCCACACUGGAACUGAGACACGGUCCAGACUCCUACGGGAGGCAGCAGUAGGGAAUCUUCCGCAAUGGGCGAAAGCCUGACGGAGCAACGCCGCGUGAGUGAUGAAGGUCUUCGGAUCGUAAAACUCUGUUAUUAGGGAAGAACAUAUGUGUAAGUAACUGUGCACAUCUUGACGGUACCUAAUCAGAAAGCCACGGCUAACUACGUGCCAGCAGCCGCGGUAAUACGUAGGUGGCAAGCGUUAUCCGGAAUUUAUGGGCGUAAAGCGCGCGUAGGCGGUUUUUUAGUCUGAUGUGAAAGCCCACGGCUCAACCGUGGAGGGUCAUUGGAAACUGGAAAACUUGAGUGCAGAAGAGGAAAGUGGAAUUCCAUGUGUAGCGGUGAAAUGCGCAGAGAUAUGGAGGAACACCAGUGGCGAAGGCGACUUUCUGGUCUGUAACUGACGCUGAUGUGCGAAAGCGUGGGGAUCAAACAGGAUUAGAUACCCUGGUAGUCCACGCCGUAAACGAUGAGUGCUAAGUGUUAGGGGGUUUCCGCCCCUUAGUGCUGCAGCUAACGCAUUAAGCACUCCGCCUGGGGAGUACGACCGCAAGGUUGAAACUCAAAGGAAUUGACGGGGACCCGCACAAGCGGUGGAGCAUGUGGUUUAAUUCGAAGCAACGCGAAGAACCUUACCAAAUCUUGACAUCCUUUGACAACUCUAGAGAUAGAGCCUUCCCCUUCGGGGGACAAAGUGACAGGUGGUGCAUGGUUGUCGUCAGCUCGUGUCGUGAGAUGUUGGGUUAAGUCCCGCAACGAGCGCAACCCUUAAGCUUAGUUGCCAUCAUUAAGUUGGGCACUCUAAGUUGACUGCCGGUGACAAACCGGAGGGAGGUGGGGAUGACGUCAAAUCAUCAUGCCCCUUAUGAUUUGGGCUACACACGUGCUACAAUGGACAAUACAAAGGGCAGCGAAACCGCGAGGUCAAGCAAAUCCCAUAAAGUUGUUCUCAGUUCGGAUUGUAGUCUGCAACUCGACUACAUGAAGCUGGAAUCGCUAGUAAUCGUAGAUCAGCAUGCUACGGUGAAUACGUUCCCGGGUCU